rnacentral:rRNA from 1 species
CCUACGGGUGGCUGCAGUCGAGAAUUUUUCUCAAUGGGCGCAAGCCUGAAGGAGCGACGCCGCGUGGGGGAUGAAGGGUUUCGAUCCGUAAACCCCUGUCAUUUGUGAACAAUGGUUAUCGUUUAAGAGAUGAUAACUUGAUAGUAAUAAAAGAGGAAGGGACGGCUAACUCUGUGCCAGCAGCCGCGGUAAUACAGAGGUCCCGAGCGUUGUUCGGAUUCACUGGGCGUAAAGGGUGCGUAGGUGGCUUGAAAAGUUUGAUGUGAAAGCCCCGG